rnacentral:rRNA from 1 species
GAGUUUGAUCGUGGCUCAGGAUAAACGCUGGCGGCGUGCCUAACACAUGCAAGUCGAACGCGCUUUGUCUCUCGCAAGAGAGAGGGAGCGAGUGGCGGACGGGUGAGGAACACAUGGGUACCUACCUUGAAGUGAGGGAUACCGGCGAGAAAUCGCCGACAAUACCGCAUAGGCUCUUUGUCGCGAGAGAGAGAGCAAAGUCUUGCGCGCAAGCGGGAGCGCUUUGGGAUGGGCCUGUGGCCGAUUAGCUAGCUGGUGGGGUAACGGCUCACCAGGGCGACGAUCGGUAGCUGGUCUGAGAGGACGAUCAGCCACACUGGGAUUGAGAACGGCCCAGACUCCUACGGGGGGCAGCAGUGAGGAAUUUUCCGCAAUGGACGCAAGUCUGACGGAGCAACGCCGCGUGCAGGACGACGGCCUCGGUUGUAACUAGCUUUCUUGGGGACGAGGACACGGACGGUACCCCGACGGAA